UGGGGAAUAUUGCGCAAUGGGGGCAACCCUGACGCAGCAACGCCGCGUGAUUGAAGAAGGCCUUCGGGUUGUAAAGAUCUUUAAUCAGGGACGAAUAAUGACGGUACCUGAAGAAUAAGCUCCGGCUAACUACGUGCCAGCAGCCGCGGUAAUACGUAGGGAGCAAGCGUUAUCCGGAUUUACUGGGUGUAAAGGGCGCGCAGGCGGGCCGGCAAGUUGGGAGUGAAAUCCGGGGGCUUAACCCCCGAACUGCUUUCAAAACUGCUGGUCUUGAGUGAUGGAGAGGCAGGCGGAAUUCCGUGUGUAGCGGUGAAAUGCGUAGAUAUACGGAGGAACACCAGUGGCGAAGGCGGCCUGCUGGACAUUAACUGACGCUGAGGCGCGAAAGCGUGGGGAGCAAACA
rnacentral:rRNA from 1 species